rnacentral:rRNA from 1 species
UACGUAGGGGGCUAGCGUUAUCCGGAAUCAUUGGGCGUAAAGGGUGUGUAGGCGGCCCUGUUAGUCUCGCGUCAAAUCUAUCGGCUCAACCGGUAGGCUGCGCGGGAAACGGCAGGGCUAGAGGACGGGAGAGGUCUCUGGAACUCAUGGUGUAGCGGUGAAAUGCGUUGAUAUCAUGGGGAACACCAAAAGCGAAGGCAAGAGACUGGCCCGCUCCUGACGCUGAAACACGAAAGCGUGGGUCGCGAAUGGG